UACAGAGGUGGCAAGCGUUGUCCGGAAUUACUGGGCGUAAAGGGCGCGUAGGUGGCCUUCUUAGUCAGACGUGAAAUCCCCAGGCUUAACCUGGGAACUGCGUCUGAUACUGGAAGGCUCGAGUUCGGGAGAGGAAUGUGGAAUUCCAGGUGUAGCGGUGAAAUGCGUAGAUAUCUGGAGGAACACCGGUGGCGAAGGCGGCAUUCUGGACCGAAACUGACGCUGAGGCGCGAAAGCCAGGGGAGCAAACGGG
rnacentral:rRNA from 1 species